UACGUAGGGGGCAAGCGUUGUCCGGAAUUAUUGGGCGUAAAGAGCUCGUAGGCGGUUUGUCGCGUCGGCCGUGAAAUCUCCACGCUUAACGUGGAGCGUGCGGUCGAUACGGGCAGACUUGAGUUCGGCAGGGGAGACUGGAAUUCCUGGUGUAGCGGUGAAAUGCGCAGAUAUCAGGAGGAACACCGGUGGCGAAGGCGGGUCUCUGGGCCGAUGACUGACGCUGAGGAGC
rnacentral:rRNA from 1 species